GGAAGGCAAGGCCAUGGUGGCCAGCUGGUCUCGAAAGCCGGCGACGCAGUGAUCUACGUGGGGUUCGACUCCUCUGUCUUCCG
rnacentral:tRNA from 1 species